rnacentral:rRNA from 1 species
GACGAACGCUGGCGGCGUGCCUAAUACAUGCAAGUCGAACGAACUCUGGUAUUGAUUGGUGCUUGCAUCAUGAUUUACAUUUGAGUGAGUGGCGAACUGGUGAGUAACACGUGGGAAACCUGCCCAGAAGCGGGGGAUAACACCUGGAAACAGAUGCUAAUACCGCAUAACAACUUGGACCGCAUGGUCCGAGCUUGAAAGAUGGCUUCGGCUAUCACUUUUGGAUGGUCCCGCGGCGUAUUAGCUAGAUGGUGGGGUAACGGCUCACCAUGGCAAUGAUACGUAGCCGACCUGAGAGGGUAAUCGGCCUCAUUGGGACUGAGGCACGGCCCAAACUCCUACGGGAGGCAGCAGUAGGGAAUCUUCCACAAUGGACGAAAGUCUGAUGGAGCAACGCCGCGUGAGUGAAGAAGGGUUUCGGCUCGUAAAACUCUGUUGUUAAAGAAGAACAUAUCUGAGAGUAACUGUUCAGUUAUUGACGGUAUUUAACCAGAAAGCCACGGCUAACUACGUGCCAGCCGCCGCCGUAAGAC